rnacentral:lncRNA from 1 species
UCUGAAUUGAAGGACUUCAGUUGUUUAAAUUGGUUUGCAAUCUUACAUUUAGUCACCGAACCAGUCAAAAUAUUUAACAGUCUUAACAUAAAUUUGAUCCAGUUUAUCUGUCGAGUUGAAGAAUAUUCAAGGAACUUAAAACACAACUGGAUCUCUCUGGUGGACAUGUCUCCAGUGUAGAGCUACCAGAUGCUGAUCAGCAAAUAACCAAUGGGACAAUUAUCGGAGGUAUUAUUAAUCUAUUUUCUCAAAAGCUUAUUCGGUUGAUUUUGUUUAAAUUUGGUCAAAAUCAACUUGAAAAAAUAUUGUAAAUAAAACAUUUACUAUUUUUGAAAGAUGCAGUAUCUUUUAUUUCUAGGAUUAACAUUGCAAAUAAUAAAGAAAAA